CCUACGGGCGGCUGCAGUGGGGAAUAUUCCGCAAUGGGCGAAAGCCUGACGGAGCGACGCCGCGUGAAUGAAGAAAUCUUUCGGGAUGUAAAGUUCAAUCGACCAGGGAAGAAUGGUUGAUAUAUUAAUAGUAUGUCAGCAGGGACGGUACCUGGAACGAAGCCACGGCUAAUUACGUGCCAGCAGCCGCGGUAAUACGUAAGUGGCAAGCGUUAUCCGGAAUCACUGGGUGUAAAGGGUGUGUAGGCGGUAAUUUAAGUUUCGCGUUUAAAAUCAGGGCUCAACCCCGACAUGGCGCGAAAUACUGAAUUGCUUGAGUGACGAAGAGGAAGUUGGAACUCCAGGUGAAGCGGUGAAAUGUGUAGAUAUCUGGGGGAACACCAAUGGCGAAGGCAGGCUUCUGGUCGUCAACUGACGCUGAGACACGAAAGCGUGGGGAGCAAACAGGCUUAGAUACCCCGGUAGUC
rnacentral:rRNA from 1 species